rnacentral:lncRNA from 1 species
CAUGUAGCCGCACAACACGAGGAAAAACAAUGCAGUGGAAGUGCGGUGCAUUCGGGUCGAACGCGCGUAGCGGCACAUUUUGUUCGUCUGAAGACAACGCGCACGUGCUGCAAGACAGAGGAUGGUCUUUCCGCAGUCAUUCCGCUGGUCACUCAAUGCGCAUAUCAGCCGGGCAAGCCAAGCAACUCAGGUGGAUAUUUCCUGGUUCUAGAAAUUCUGCCUGAUCGUUGCUUGUUUUUUUCUUUGACCACAUCAAAUACUCUGACGGGAAAUUCAUCUAGUGUAUUGGAAAUUAAUGAAUUAUUGAAUUGAGGCCCAACCCACUCAACAUAGCGAAAACAAGCGGAAGGCUUCUCCAGACAAGGUGACCCGCCGACUGCGCCGGGUAGUUCGAGUAGCAAAGUGCUUCUCUAGUCGUUUUGUCUGCAUAUGAGGUAAUUCGUAGAUCAAUUCGGGUUGUCGCGGCACCGGUUCUUUUGUGUCCGUCUGUGCGUGAUACUUUCAGCCGCAGCACACUACUGCAGCCGUUUCCGCAAUGUGGGACUUUGUAGGCACUAGUAUCUCACCAGAGUGCGACGAAUUGCCACCUCGCGAGAGCGACCACCUUCCCAGGCUACAUUCUCCGGUUGCGCUCAUCUACUUCUGACGUCAACGUGAGGGUCUCUCUCUUGCUCGAGGUAUUUGAGCCAACGGCCGCAGGCAUCAUAGGUCGGGCUACAUUGUCGACGAACAACAAGGGUAAAAUAAUUACAUAUAAUGAGCACCGUAGGGGCGCGCAGUAUGAACUAAAUGUGUUUGAGCAAAGUGGUGCGCGCAACCUGUGUUCAUGUUUUAGGUGCGGUUGUGCCUCUGCGGAGGAUCUUUCUAGAGUCAUCAUCGAAUGUAAGUGAUGUGAUAAGCCUAUAUAUCCCAUAUAUGCCACUCGCACGCGCACAAACUUCUCCAGUCCCCGACGACAACGUACGAGUAUCCCAUCGUGGUUCCACAUGUCGCGUACAACCACUGAGGAAACAUGUGAAAACGUUGACUGUAGCAAAUGCAAUCGAAAAUGUCUUGGGUAUCGCUUGUGUGAUGCAAAGAAAAAUCCGUCUGCUUGGAACUUAAGGUGUGGCCGGGGUUCUUCCUUGUCCAAAAAGAGUCAUCCACAGCCCGCAUAAGUUCAUUCUGCUGGAACUUCUAUACUUCUGUGCCUUAAACUACUUGCCUUGGUACGCUCACGCCCAGACAAACGUUUUCUCGUCUAAGACUUCAGAAUCUCGUAAUACGUGAAGCUGUUGCUAGUUUUCAAGAGUGUCCCACGAGCUUCUGAUCAAAAC